rnacentral:rRNA from 1 species
UACGUAGGGUGCGAGCGUUAAUCGGAAUUACUGGGCGUAAAGCGUGCGCAGGCGGUUUUGUAAGCCAGAUGUGAAAUCCCCGAGCUUAACUUGGGAAUUGCGCUCGAAACUACGUGGCUCGAGUGUGGCAGAGGAAGGUGGAAUUCCACGUGUAGCGGUGAAAUGCGUAGAUAUCGGGAGGAACACCAGUGGCGAAGGCGACUACCUGGCCUGUUCUUGACGCUGAGGCGCGAAAGCUAGGGGAGCAAACGGG